rnacentral:rRNA from 1 species
UCUCUCUGAAUCUGCGAACGGCUCCGCAAACCAGUUGUAAACCAUAGCGAGCACGCCCUUGGGUGGGCCGCAAGGUCCGCCCGGGGGUAAUAAGGAUAACCCUGGUAAUUCUGAGGCUAAUACAAGAACGUAACACCUGGCUGACCGGCAACGGGAGGCUGGGGGACGUGCGAAUUAAUGCAAAGCUUACUGGGAAUAGAUGCACGUCCAGACCACCAUCCAAACGGUAGCGUGACCUUCGGGGAGCGUGUCCGGGUGGCUCUCGCGUUGUGCUUCUGACCUAUCAACUAGAUGGCAGCGUAAGGGACAUGCUAUGGUGACAACGGGUACAGAGGAUAAGGGUUCGAUCCUGGAGAGUGGGCCUGAGAGAUU